rnacentral:rRNA from 1 species
UACGUAGGGGGCGAGCGUUGUCCGGAUUUAUUGGGCGUAAAGAGCGUGUAGGCGGCCAGAUAAGUCCGCUGUGAAAUCUCGAGGCUCAACUUCGAGCUGUCGGUGGAAACUGUCUGGCUAGAGUCCGGAAGAGGAGAAUGGAAUUCCUGGUGUAGCGGUGAAAUGCGCAGAUAUCAGGAAGAACACCCGUGGCGAAGGCGGUUCUCUGGGACGGUACUGACGCUGAGACGCGAAAGCGUGGGGAGCGAACAGG